AUUGAACGCUGGCGGCAGGCCUAACACAUGCAAGUCGAACGGUAACAGGAAGCAGCUUGCUGCUUUGCUGACGAGUGGCGGACGGGUGAGUAAUGUCUGGGAAACUGCCCGAUGGAGGGGGAUAACUACUGGAAACGGUAGCUAAUACCGCAUAACGUCGCAAGACCAAAGAGGGGGACCUUAGGGCCUCUUGCCAUCGGAUGUGCCCAGAUGGGAUUAGCUAGUAGGUGGGGUAACGGCUCACCCAGGCGACGAUCCCUAGCUGGUCUGAGAGGAUGACCAGCCACACUGGAACUGAGACACGGUCCAGACUCCUACGGGAGGCAGCAGUGGGGAAUAUUGCACAAUGGGCGCAAGCCUGAUGCAGCCAUGCCGCGUGUAUGAAGAAGGCCUUCGGGUUGUAAAGUACUUUCAGCGGGGAGGAAGGGAGUAAAGUUAAUACCUUUGCUCAUUGACGUUACCCGCAGAAGAAGCACCGGCUAACUCCGUG
rnacentral:rRNA from 1 species